rnacentral:rRNA from 1 species
AGAGUUUGAUCAUGGCUCAGAGCGAACGCUGGCGGCGUACUUAACACAUGCAAGUCGAACGGGGAUCAUCGGUGUAGCAAUACAUUGCUGGUCCUAGUGGCGCACGGGUGAGUAACACGUGGGUAACCUGCCCUUGAGUUCGGGAUACCCCCUCGAAAGGGGGGCUAAUACCGGAUACGUUCCUCGGAUCGACAGGUCUGGGGAGGAAAGGUGGCGCAAGCUGCCGCUCUCGGAGGGGCUCGCGGCCUAUCAGCUAGUUGGCGGGGUAACGGCCCACCAAGGCUAUGACGGGUAGCUGGUCUGAGAGGACGACCAGUCACACGGGGACUGAGACACGGCCCCGACUCCUACGGGAGGCAGCAGUGGGGAAUUUUCCGCAAUGGGCGAAAGCCUGACGGAGUGACGCCGCGUGUGGGACGAAGGCCUUCGGGUCGUAAACCACUGUCAGUGGGAAAGAAGGGUGUCGGCGCCAAUACCGCCGGCACUUGACGGUACCUGCAGAGGAAGCCCCGGCCAACUCUGUGCCAGCAGCCGCGGUAAGACAGAGGGGGCAAGCGUUGCUCGGAAUUACUGGGCGUAAAGGGCGCGUAGGCGGGAUGGCAAGUCGGUCGUGAAAUCCUUCGGCUCAACCGAAGAACGUCGAUCGAUACUGCUGUUCUUGAGGAUUGCAGAGGAGACUGGAAUUCCCGGUGUAGCGGUGAAAUGUGUAGAGAUCGGGAGGAACACCGGUGGCGAAAGCGGGUCUCUGGGCAAUUCCUGACGCUGAGGCGCGAAAGCGUGGGGAGCAAACGGGAUUAGAUACCCCGGUAGUCCACGCUGUAAACGAUGACGACUAGGUGUGGGGGGGUUCAGUCCCUUCCGUGCCGCAGCUAACGCAUUAAGUCGUCCGCCUGGGGAGUACGGCCGCAAGGUUGAAACUCCAAAGGAAUUGACGGGGGCCGA